rnacentral:rRNA from 1 species
GACGAACGCUGGCGGCGUGCUUAACACAUGCAAGUCGAACGAAGUGGCAAACGGGUGAGUAACGCGUAAUCAACCUGCCCUUCAGAGGGGGAAAACAGUUGGAAACGACUGCUAAUCGCGCAUACUGAAGGAGGGUAUUGGGUCUGAUUGGCUAGUUGGGGGGGUAACGGCCCACCAAGGCGAUGAUCAGUAGCCGGGUUGGGAGGAUGGACGACCACAUUGGGACUGGGACACGGCCCAGACUCCUACGGGAGGCAGCAGUGGGGGAUCUUCCGCAAUGGACGAAAGUCUGACGGAGCAACGCCGCGUGGGUGAUGACGGCCUUCGGGUUGUAAAGCUCUGUUAAUCGGGACGCGGUACCGGAAUAGAAAGCCACGGCUAACUACGUGCCAGCAGCCGCGGUAAUAC